UACGGAGGGUGCGAGCGUUGUCCGGAAUCACUGGGCGUAAAGGGCGCGUAGGCGGCUUCUCAAGCGUGUGGUGAAAGUCCGGGGCUCAACCCCGGAUCGGCCGUGCGGACUGGGGAGCUCGAGUUCUGUAGAGGCGGGUGGAAUUCCGGGUGUAGCGGUGGAAUGCGUAGAGAUCCGGAAGAACACCGGUGGCGAAGGCGGCCCGCUGGGCAGAGACUGACGCUGAUGCGCGACAGC
rnacentral:rRNA from 1 species